GCACAAGCGGUGGAGCAUGUGGUUUAAUUCGAAGCAACGCGAAGAACCUUACCAGGUCUUGACAUCCCUGACAACCCGAGAGAUCGGGCGUUCCCCUUCGGGGGACAGGGUGACAGGUGGUGCAUGGUUGUCGUCAGCUCGUGUCGUGAGAUGUUGGGUUAAGUCCCGCAACGAGCGCAACCCUCGACCUUAGUUGCCAGCAUUCAGUUGGGCACUCUAAGGUGACUGCCGGCUAAAACUCGGAGGAAGGUGGGGAUGACGUCAAAUCAUCAUGCCCCUUAUGUUCUGGGCUACACACGUGCUACAAUGGCUGGUACAAAGAGACGCAAGACGGUGACGUGGAGCAAAUCUCAAAAACCAGUCCCAGUUCGGAUUGUAGGCUGCAACUCGCCUACAUGAAGUUGGAGUUGCUAGUAAUCGCGAAUCAGAAUGUCGCGGUGAAUGCGUUCCCGGGUCUU
rnacentral:rRNA from 1 species